GAAAAAGAAUGUCUGCUGAGGUUGAAUACAGAUGCUUCGUGGGUGGGCUCGCAUGGGCUACCAACGAUAGAACCCUAGGUGAAGCUUUUUCUCAGUACGGAAAUGUGGUCGACUCCAAGGUCCGUUUGUUGCACAGCUAGCAGAGAUCGGAUCGUUGAUCUCUUUAAUCUCUCUGUUACUCUGUUACUCUCUGUUACUAUGUUACUCUCUGUUACUCUGUUACUAUUUGUUUAUUCCAUUCCUUUAUACGAUUAUCAACGAUCGCGAAACAGGUAGAUCGAGAGGAUUUGGUUUUGUUACCUUUACUGAUGAGAAAUCCAUGAGGAAUGCAAUUGAAGCAAUGAAUGGCCAGAACCUUGAUGGUCGUAACAUCACUGUUAACGAAGCU
rnacentral:misc_RNA from 1 species